UACGUAGGGUGCAAGCGUUAAUCGGAAUUACUGGGCGUAAAGCGUGCGCAGGCGGUGAUGUAAGACAGAUGUGAAAUCCCCGGGCUCAACCUGGGAACUGCAUUUGUGACUGCAUCGCUAGAGUAUGGCAGAGGGGGUAGAAUUCCACGUGUAGCAGUGAAAUGCGUAGAGAUGUGGAGGAAUACCGAUGGCGAAGGCCAGCCCCCUGGGUCAAUACUGACGCUCAUGCACGAAAGCGUGGGGAGCAAACAGG
rnacentral:rRNA from 1 species